GGGAUGGAGAGCGGGACGGAGAGCGGGAUGGCGAGCGGGAUGGAGAGCGGGACGGAGAGCGGGAUGGCGAGCGGGACGGCGGCGGGCCGGUUCCCGUUCCCCUACACGCCGUACCGCAUCCAGGAGCAGUUCAUGGAGGCGCUGUACGGCGCGCUGGAGGGCGGCCGGGUUGGCAUCUUCGAGAGCCCCACGGGCACGGGAAAAUCGCUGAGCCUCAUCUGCGGGGCCUUGUCGUGGCUCCGGGACUGGGAGCAGAAGCGGCGGCAGGCGGAGGCGCGGCUGCUGGCGCUCGGGGCCGGCGGGCAGGACGAGCUGAGCCCGCAGCAGGCGCGGCCGGGCAGCGCGGACACGGCCGGGCAGCCCGACUGGGUCACGGCCUUCGUGCAGAGGAAAGAGCAGCGGGACAUGGUGGACAGGCUGAAGGAAGAGCAGAUCAGAAGGAAAAAGCGAGAAGAUCGUCUUGAGAAAAUUUGUCACAAUGUGCAGUUAAAAUACACAGUAAAGAGGAAGAGGUGCGAGGAGGAUGAGGCAAAGCGCCUUCUUCAGCUCAGCAAAGAGGCUCUUUCACAGGGAGCUGGAGAGGGUGUUCUAGACCAGCUGGAUCACAAUGAGGAGGAGCUGAUCCUUGCUGAAUAUGAGAGUGAUGACGAAAGGAAAGUGGUAUCUGGGCUGGAAGAAGAAGAAGAUGAUGAUUUGGAAGAGGAUCAUGUGACUAAGAUCUACUACUGCAGUCGCACUCACUCCCAGCUGUCCCAGUUUGUGCGCGAGGUGCAGAAAAGUCCCUUUGGCAAAGACACGCGUCUGGUCUCCUUGGGAUCCAGGCAGAAUCUGUGUGUGAAUGAGGAGGUGCAACGCCUGGGUGCUCUCCAGCUCAUCAAUGACCGCUGCAUGGAGAUGCAAAAGAACAAACAUGAAAAGAAGAGUGAUGAGGAGAAUGAGGGGAAGAAGAGACGUGUGAGUCGCACCACGUGCCCAUUUUAUUCCUAUGAGCAAAUGCAGUUUCUCCGUGAUGAAGUUCUAGUGGAAGUGAAGGAUAUUGAGCAGUUGGUGUCCUUGGGAAGGGAGACCAGAGCCUGCCCCUAUUAUGGGAGUCGAUUUGCCAUCCCUGCUGCUCAGCUGGUGGUGCUGCCCUAUCAGAUGCUUUUGCAUGAGCCUACCAGGAACGCUGCUGGGAUCAAGCUGAAGGACCAGGUUGUGAUCAUUGACGAGGCCCACAACCUCAUAGACACUAUCACCUGUAUCCACAGUGCCGAGGUCAGCGGCUCUCAGCUGUGCUGUGCCCACUCCCAGCUGUCGCAGUACAUGGAGCGAUACAGGAAACGUUUGAAGGCAAAGAACUUGAUGUACAUUAAGCAGAUCCUGUAUCUACUGGAGCAGUUUGUUGCCAUGCUGGGAGGUAACGUGAACCAGAAUCCUGGAUGUCAGGCAGUUUCCCAAACAGGGACAGUACUAAAAUCCAUCAAUGACUUUCUAUUUCAGAGCCAGAUUGACAAUAUCAACCUCUUCAAGGUUCAGCGGUACUGUGAGAAGAGCCUCAUCAGCAGGAAGCUUUUUGGGUUUGUGGAGCGAUACGGGGGUCCUGCUUCAGCUGUGAAGACCAACAAGGAGAACCAGAAGCUGGCUGGUUUGCAGAACUUCCUUCUGACCCUUCAGCAGGGAUCUGAUAAGGAGGCAGGUGCCCCCCAGAGCCCUCCCGGGGAGGCUGAGCAUGACCAGCUCCGAACUGCCUCUCCACUGAUGCAGAUUGAAGGAUUUCUCUCGGCCCUCACAAAUGCAAACCAAGAUGGCAGAGUCAUGCUCAACAGGCAAGGCACAGUUGGUCAGAGCAGCCUCAAAUUCCUCCUGCUGAAUCCAGCUGUCCACUUUGCCAAGGUUGUGGAAGAAUGCCGUGCUGUCAUCAUUGCCGGAGGCACCAUGCAGCCGGUGGCUGAUUUCCGAGAGCAGCUGCUGUGCUGUGCUGGUGUGGACCCUGCCCGUAUCGUGGAGUUCUCCUGUGGACAUGUGAUUCCUCCAGAAAAUAUUUUACCCAUCAUCCUCUGCAGUGGUCCUUCCAACCAGCAGCUGGAGUUCACUUACCAGACCAGAGACCUGCCUCAGAUGAUGGAUGAGACAGGUCGAAUUCUUUGCAACCUGUGCAAUGUGAUCCCGGGAGGUGUGGUGUGCUUCUUCCCCUCCUAUGAAUAUGAGAAGCAGGUGUAUGGACACUGGGAGAAGACAGGGCUGCUCUCCCGCCUGGCAGCCAAGAAGAAGAUCUUUCAGGAGCCUAAGAAAGCCAACCAGGUGGAGCAGGUGCUGGUGGAAUACGCCAAGUGCAUAAAGCGCUGCAGCCAGACGGGAGGACAGAUGACCGGGGCCCUGCUGCUUUCUGUAGUUGGAGGCAAAAUGAGUGAAGGGAUAAAUUUCUCCGAUGACCUGGGAAGGUGUGUGAUUAUGGUGGGAAUGCCUUACCCCAACAUUAGAUCUCCAGAACUCCAGGAAAAAAUGACUUGGCUUGACAAAACAAUGCUUGGGGUCUGCCUGGCCACCCGCUCACGCUGCAGGGCCCAGAGCUGCUGGCCAGGCACCGAGCAGAGUGCUGAUUGAAAACCUGUGCAUGAAGGCAGUAAACCAGUCGAUAGGCAGAGCCAUUCGCCAUCAGAAGGACUUUGCGAGCAUCCUGCUCCUGGACCACAGGUAUGCACGCCCUGCCAUCUUUAACAAACUGCCCCAGUGGAUCAGGGAGAGGACCCAGGUGAAACCUGCCUUUGGAUCAGCGUUUGCUGAGUUAAGAAAGUUCCAUCGAGGCAAGUUGGAUGCUUUGUGAUGUGGACCAGAGAACAGAUGGUAUUUGUCAUUGUGAGUUACACCUCUGAAGCCUAGGUAACGUAACACAAGUUGCUGCCUUUCUGUACCAUGGACUUCAUAAAAAUCUCUGCCUCCUGCCUCCUUUGUGGAUGUUUGCUGUUCAGUAUCUGAGUGCUGUGAUGGUGAGGCAGCCUUUCAGCACCACAGCCAGGAGGGAAACUGGGUGUAGAUCUGAGGCAGGUGGAGAGAGUAGCAGCGGGCACCCACUUGUUUACAGCUGUUAAGGUUUUAUUUAAAUUGAUUAAAUACUUUCAAUAAAAACA